rnacentral:tRNA from 1 species
GUUUUUAUAGUUGAAUUACAGCGGCAGCUUUUCAAGCUGCAGGUCUAGGUUGGAGUCCUAGUGGAAACA